rnacentral:rRNA from 1 species
GACAGAGGCCUCGAGCGUUAGGCGGAAUCACUGGGCUUAAAGCGUGUGUAGGCGGAUCGUUAAGUGCCUUGUGAAAUCCCACGGCUUAACUGUGGAACGGCUGGGCAUACUGGCGGUCUUGAGCCAUCUAGGGGCGACUGGAACAAACGGUGGAGCGGUGAAAUGCGUAGAUAUCGUUUGGAACGCCAAAGGGUGAAAACAGGUCGCUGGGGAUGAGCUGACGCUGGAGAACACGGAAAGCCAGGGGAGCAAACGGG